rnacentral:rRNA from 1 species
UACAUGGGGUGCAAACGUUGCUCGGAAUUAUUGGGCGUAAAGCGCGCGUAGGCGGUUACUCAAGUCGGAUGUGAAAGCCCUCGGCUUAACUGAGGAAGUGCACCCGAAACUGAGUAGCUAGAGUACUAAAGAGGGUCGCGGAAUUCCCGGUGUAGAGGUGAAAUUCGUAGAUAUUCGCAAGAACACCAGUGGCGAAGGCGGCUCACUGGCCCGGUACUGACGCUGAGGUGCGAAAGCGUGGGGAGCAAACAGG